GCAGCGGUAACUCAGUGGUUAAGACAUUGGACUACUGCUCGGAAGGUCAUUAGUUCAAAUCCUACCACUGCU